rnacentral:piRNA from 1 species
UGGGCAACUUUAUAGGGAAAACAGCUCACAG